rnacentral:rRNA from 1 species
UACGGAGGGUGCGAGCGUUGUCCGGAAUCAUUGGGCGUAAAGGGCGCGUAGGUGGCCCGGUCAGUCUUUGGUGAAAGCGCGGGGCUCAACCCUGCGUCGGCCAGGGAUACUGCCGCGGCUCGAGCACUGUAGAGGCAGGCGGAAUUCCGGGUGUAGCGGUGGAAUGCGUAGAGAUCCGGAAGAACACCGGUGGCGAAGGCGGCCUGCUGGGCAGUUUUGCUGACACUGAGGCGCGACAGCGUGGGGAGCAAACGGG